AUUGAACGCUGGCGGCAUGCCUUACACAUGCAAGUCGAACGGCAGCACGGGAGCAAUCCUGGUGGCGAGUGGCGAACGGGUGAGUAAUAUAUCGGAACGUGCCCAGUCGUGGGGAUAACGUAGCGAAAGCUACGCUAAUACCGCAUACGAUCUAUGGAUGAAAGCGGGGGAUCGCAAGACCUCGCGCGAUUGGAGCGGCCGAUAUCAGAUUAGGUAGUUGGUGAGGUAAAGGCUCACCAAGCCGACGAUCUGUAGCUGGUCUGAGAGGACGACCAGCCACACUGGGACUGAGACACGGCCCAGACUCCUACGGGAGGCAGCAGUGGGGAAUUUUGGACAAUGGGCGCGAGCCUGAUCCAGCAAUGCCGCGUGCAGGAUGAAGGCCUC
rnacentral:rRNA from 1 species